ACGAACGCUGGCGGCGUGCUUAACACAUGCAAGUCGAACGGUGAAGCGCCUUCCUUUUUGGUGGGUGUGGAUGAGUGGCGAACGGGUGAGUAACACGUGAGUAACCUGCCCCCUUCUUCUGGAUAACCGCAUGAAAGUGUGGCUAAUACGGGAUAUUCUGGGUCUGUCGCAUGAUGGGUCUGGGAAAGAUAUUGUUUCGGUGGGGGAUGGGCUCGCGGCCUAUCAGCUUGUUGGUGGGGUGAUGGCCUACCAAGGCGGUAACGGGUAGCCGGCCUGAGAGGGUGGACGGUCACACUGGGACUGAGACACGGCCCAGACUCCUACGGGAGGCAGCAGUGGGGAAUAUUGCACAAUGGGCGCAAGCCUGAUGCAGCGACGCCGCGUGAGGGAUGGAGGCCUUCGGGUUGUGAACCUCUUUCGCCAGUGAAGCAGGCCUGCCUCGUUUGUGGGUGGGUUGACGGUAGCUGGAUAAGAAGCGCCGGCUAACUACGUG
rnacentral:rRNA from 1 species